UACAGAGGAGGCGAGCGUUAUCCGGAGUUAUUGGGCGUAAAGGGCACGUAGGCGGCUGGUCAAGUCUGGGGAUAAAGACCACGGCUUAACUGUGGGGGGGCCUUGGAAACUGACCGGCUGGAGUGGGGCAGGGGUUGGGGGAAUUCCCGGUGUAGCGGUGAAAUGCGCAGAUAUCGGAAAGAACACCUGAGGCGAAAGCGCGCACCUGGGCCGUAACUGACGCUGAGGUGCGAAAGCUUGGGGAGCGAAUGGG
rnacentral:rRNA from 1 species